ensembl:snoRNA SNORD62 Small nucleolar RNA SNORD62
CAAGGGAUCCUUCUGACUCCCCACUGUGGACUCAGUAGCAGGGAGAUGAAGAGGAUAUUAACUGA